AUAGCCGCAGUUUAUGUGCUAAGGUAGCAUAAUCACUUGUUUUUUAAUUAAAAACUAGAAUGAAUGGGAAAACAAUUCAAUUUCUUUAUUAUAUUAAAUUAAUUAAAUUUAUAUUUAUCAUCAAAAUAUGGUAAUAAAAAAAAAAGACGACAAGACCCUAUKGAACUUAACUUCAGUUAAKUUGGGGCAACUUAUUAAAAAAUAUUUUAAUUAAUUUUUUUUUUUAAAAYCAUCAAUUAUAAWUUAAUUAUUAAUUAAGUUACCAWAGGGAUAACRGCGUAAWAUCUUUCUAARGUUCAUAUUWAAAAAGAAAUUUGCRACCUCRAUGUURAAUUAUUUUAYCUAUAACGUGCAGGAAUGUUAUAAGUAAKUCKGUUCGACUUUAAAAAAUUUA
rnacentral:rRNA from 1 species